CCUACGGGUGGCAGCAGUGAGGAAUAUUGGUCAAUGGCCGGAAGGCUGAACCAGCCAUGCCGCGUGAAGGUCAGUGCCCUAUGGGCGUUAAACUUCUUUUGUGCGGGAGCAAUAAUGGUCACGUGUGGCCAGACGAGAGUACCGUACGAAGAAGCCCCGGCUAACUACGUGCCAGCAGCCGCGGUAAUACGUAGGGGGCAAGCGUUAUCCGGAUUUACUGGGUGUAAAGGGAGCGUAGACGGCUGUGCAAGUCUGAAGUGAAAGCCCGUGGCUCAACCGCGGAACUGCUUUGGAAACUGUAUAGCUUGAGUACUGGAGAGGCAGGCGGAAUUCCUAGUGUAGCGGUGAAAUGCGUAGAUAUUAGGAGGAACACCAGUGGCGAAGGCGGCCUGCUGGACAGAAACUGACGUUGAGGCUCGAAAGCGUGGGGAGCAAACAGGAUUAGAUACCCUUGUAGUC
rnacentral:rRNA from 1 species